rnacentral:misc_RNA from 1 species
AAGUCGUAACAAGGUUAAAAUCCCCUGGGUCCUGGUUUUUACGUUUAGUAACCCCCCCUCACGGAAGCCUUGAAUUGAGUCCAUGUUCAUCAUGGGCAACACCAGUCUGUUGCUAGAAACCCUUGUCUAAGGUUAUUAGCAGUCGUUUUAACGAUUCACAGAUCAAGUACUGGUGGUUCAUUUCAAACUACGAAUGAAUUAUAAUAUGACCGGUACUCUUCUUAGCUGAAGAGAGCUUAACGUUCCGUAGGUGAACCUGCGGAAGGAUCAUUAAAGAGUAAGGGUCUCCGGGCCCGAUCU